GUUGCGGUUUGGACUGGACUUAGAGCUAAGCCUGCAUAACACCCUCAGUAUAUUGACCCCUAAUGUCAUCAGAGUGGCUGACAGUGGGAGUCAGUAUCUCGUAGGCUUGACAGCCUCUCCCUCUAACACAGAUGACCUUCAAAAAAGUGCUGCUGUCCUAAUUUUGCCUGCCCUUUUCAAGGAGGAUGCCAAGUUUCUGUAUUGUUUAGAUGAGGAACCACUGUGUUUCCAACCAUCAUCUUCCAGGGUGGUGAUACUCCCCUCCUUGCCAGGAGAGCGUCCAUAAAGAUGGAUGGCAUCACAAUAGCAAGUGGAGAGAUGGAUGUGCCACAUGCCCUCCAAUGCCUGCUGGAGGUGUAUUACAUCUUUGGUGUGGAGUACCACAUGCAGAUUAAGCACACACUGGCUUUUGCAGAGCAUUAUUUGUUCAAGAUACCAAGUCAAAAAAGAGUGUUGACUCCUGUUUUGAGACUUUACAAUCAAAUUUGC